GACUUUUGACAACGGAUAUUUUGGGUCUCGCAUCGAUGAAGAACCUAGUGAAAUGCGAUACUUGGUGUGAAUUGCAAAAUCCCGUGAACCAUCGAGUYUUUGAACGCAAGUUGCGCCCGAAGCCUCAGGCCGAGGGCACCUUUGCCUGGGCGUUUU
rnacentral:rRNA from 1 species